GAUGAAUGCUGGCGGCGUGCCUAACACAUGCAAGUCGAGCGGCAGCGCGGAGAGUUUACUCUCUGGCGGCGAGCGGCGGACGGCUGAGUAACGCGUGGGAACGUGCCCCAAAGUGAGGAAUAACUGCCCGAAAGGGUGGCUAAUGCCGCAUAUGAUCUUCGGAUUAAAGGAUUUAUCCGCUUUGGGAGCGGCCCGCGUCGGAUUAGGUUGUUGGUGAGGUAAUGGCUCACCAAGCCGACGAUCCGUAGCUGGUCUGAGAGGAUGAUCAGCCAGACUGGGACUGAGACACGGCCCAGACUCCUACGGGAGGCAGCAGUGAGGAAUCUUCCACAAUGGGCGAAAGCCUGAUGGAGCAACGCCGCGUGCAGGAUGAAGGCCUUCGGGUUGUAAACUGCUUUUAUAAGUGAAGAAUAUGACGGUAACUUAUGAAUAAGCACCGGCUAACUACGUGCCAGCAGCCGCCGCCGUAA
rnacentral:rRNA from 1 species